CCAGGGUGUAAUUACAGUUUCUCUUGGGC
rnacentral:piRNA from 1 species